rnacentral:rRNA from 1 species
CCUACGGGUGGCAGCAGUGAGGAAUAUUGGUCAAUGGCCGGAAGGCUGAACCAGCCAAGUCGCGUGAAGGAAGACGGCCCUACGGGUUGUAAACCUCUUUUGUCAGGGAGCAAGGUGCAGGUCGGGACCUGCUGUGAGAGUACCUGAAGAAAAAGCAUCGGCUAACUCCGUGCCAGCAGCCGCGGUAAUACGGAGGAUGCGAGCGUUAUCCGGAUUUAUUGGGUUUAAAGGGUGCGCAGGCGGAGGCACAAGUCAGCGGUAAAAUCGCGGGGCUCAACCCCGCUCCGCCGUUGAAACUGUGUGCCUUGAGAGGGCGAAGGGUAGGCGGAAUGCGUGGUGUAGCGGUGAAAUGCAUAGAUAUCACGCAGAACUCCGAUCGCGAAGGCAGCCUACCGGCGCGCAACUGACGCUGAUGCACGAAAGCGUGGGUAUCGAACAGGAUUAGAUACCCCAGUAGUC